rnacentral:rRNA from 1 species
GAUGAACGCUGGCAGCGUGCCUAAUACAUGCCAGUCGAGCGAACGGACGAGAAGCUUGCUUCUCUGAUGUUAGCGGCGGACGGGUGAGUAACACGUGGAUAACCUACCUAUAAGACUGGGAUAACUUCGGGAAACCGGAGCUAAUACCGGAUAAUAUUUUGAACCGCAUGGUUCAAAAGUGAAAGACGGUCUUGCUGUCACUUAUAGAUGGAUCCGCGCUGCAUUAGCUAGUUGGUAAGGUAACGGCUUACCAAGGCAACGAUGCAUAGCCGACCUGAGAGGGUGAUCGGCCACACUGGAACUGAGACACGGUCCAGACUCCUACGGGAGGCAGCAGUAGGGAAUCUUCCGCAAUGGGCGAAAGCCUGACGGAGCAACGCCGCGUGAGUGAUGAAGGUCUUCGGAUCGUAAAACUCUGUUAUUAGGGAAGAACAUAUGUGUAAGUAACUGUGCACAUCUUGACGGUACCUAAUCAGAAAGCCACGGCUAACUACGUG